UACAGAGGAGCCAAGCGUUGUCCGGAUUGACUGGGCGUAAAGCGCACGCAGGCGGACGCGCGCGUGGGGUGUGAAAUCUGGCCGCUUAACGGCCAGGCGCCAUCCCAUACGGCGCGUCUGGAGUGAUGCAGAGGUCGGUGGAAUUGCCGGUGUAGUGGUGAAAUGCGUAGAGAUCGGCAGGAACACCCAGGGGGAAACCAGCCGACUGGGCAUCUACUGACGCUGAGGAGCGAAAGCGUGGGUAGCAAACAGG
rnacentral:rRNA from 1 species